rnacentral:rRNA from 1 species
UACAGAGGGGGCAAGCGUUGUUCGGAAUUACUGGGCGUAAAGGGCGCGUAGGCGGCCUUCUAAGUCGAACGUGAAAUCCCCGGGCUCAACCCGGGAACUGCGUCCGAUACUGGAAGGCUUGAAUCCGGGAGAGGGAUGCGGAAUUCCAGGUGUAGCGGUGAAAUGCGCAGAUAUCAGGAGGAACACCGGUGGCGAAGGCGGGUCUCUGGGCCGAUACUGACGCUGAGGAGCGAAAGCAUGGGUAGCGAACAGG